rnacentral:lncRNA from 1 species
UCUCCGUGCGGACCCAGCCAGGUUGCUGGCUUUGAGCGCACACCUAAGCGCGUUCAGUUUCACUUCUUUAACAAUAACUCUUAAAUUGAUAGUAAUAAUAGCAGCUGCUGUUUCUCAGCCCUUACUGUGUCCUUGGCAGCGUGUUAAGCAUAGUUUAUGAAAACCUUCGCCACAACCUUGUAAUGUAUCCUAGGGGGAAUGUCUGGAAAAGACCAUUCUGAUCUUCAAGGAGCUUCCAAUUAAAUGAGUGAAACAGCCUCUAAACAAGCCGCUGGAACCUGGGGUGAUGACAGCAACAUCAUGCGUCACACUGUGCAUCGUAGUCAUCUCCUUAAAUCCUCAAAACAAUCUGGUACAGUUGGUAUUAUUGCCGUCAUCUUACAGAUCAGAAAACCAAGGAAUGGAGUAGCUUAGGUUCCAUUCCACUCAAGAAUGGAAUCAAGCUCCGGUGGAACCCAAAGUCCAUGCUGUUAACUUCUACGCUGAUGUGGGACAUGAUAUUCAAAAGCUUGAAAGAAUUUGUUGCCAGAAGAGCUUCACUAUACAAGAUAUGUUAAAGGAUGUCCUUCAGGCAGAAAGAAGAUGAUACCAGAUGGAAAUCUGGAUCAACACAAAGAAAUGAAGAGCACUAGAAAUGACGCGGUAGCUCACACCUGUAACCCCAGCACUUCGGGAG